CAUGAAAGUGCAAAUUAAGACUUUAAAAGUUAUAACUGUUUUAUAGGUAUUGUGUUUUCUCUCUUUUCACAAGGAUGCAGUCUCCUCUUUAUUGUACAAUCGUAUCAGGAUAUAUGCUAUGUAUGUAGGAACUCAAAAUGGCAUAUGCAGCGAUUCUCUCUCUUACACUCCCAACAAUAAAGACUUUGAGGUAAGUUGGGCUGAAAGAGUUUGUUUGCCCCAAAGUUCCAUUGUGUUACUGAUACAUGUUAAAUCCAAUAAAAAUUAUUGGCUUCAGCAUAUAUAACCUGAUUUAAGAUUAUACAAUACAUGUAGGAAAUAUUUUUUUUUAAAUUAUGAGAUUUGUAGGAUGAAAUCAAUGCUCCCUGCUGAUAGAAUUUAAGAAUAGAAUUUCACAAAAGUGAGAGGUUCACGUGUACUCUGGAAAAAAAAAACUGUUUGAUUCAGGGUUAGCAAUUAUAUUGAUACCUCAAACAAAAUGAUUAUAAGUUCCUUCUGUGCCAUUUCUGUUUACCAAUGUAAUAUAAUGACAUUAACCAAUAAAAUAUGUAUUGAAAUAAGGGGAAAAUAUCUUUCAUAGAAAAUUUCAUAAUAUUAAAUCAAGUAACAAAUCAUUCUGAAUUAUCUAGAAUUAAAAUUCUUAGUGAAACAAGGAAAAGCUUUAACAUACAACUUGAACUAACUAAAUAAAUAAAUAGUUAUUUAAUAAACUAGUUUUUGUACAGACUAUACUAAGUUUUGAAUGGCAUCAUAUUAUUUUCAACACUUUGUUUACUUUCUAUAGUAUUAUAUAUAUCUUUUGGCUUUCUAAAGAUGAAAAAAGGCCUUUAUCUAUCCAAGAGUGAAGGUACAAGUGGAGAUUAAAGGUACAAGUUUAGGAUUAAAAAUCAACAACUUUAGUUUUUGAAUUUGACAAGGGAUUCAAACUUACUGAAGAUAAUUUGUUUUUCUUUUGUUUAAUUGAAGUGACAUAUAGUAAUAUAAAUAAGUGCUGUGAUGGAAAAUGUAUCUAUUCUGCUAUUUCUUUUUGAAUAAUUAUCCAGGUAUUAAUCAUUUUAUUUGAUAGCCAUAAUUUUCCAUUUUUUAACAAGUAUUUGAGAAUAAAAUUCUGCUCUAUGUAAAAUGGCAGGCAUAGAAGUGACUCUAAAACGCUUAUGAAACAAUUGUUAUUUCAUUUGCAAAGCAGAUUAACACCUGCUGCCAUUGGAAUAAAGAAGUUAUAUAAUGCAACCCUUAAUACAUAUAUGGGCAGAUGAUUAAAAAGAUGUGCAAUUAAUUAUAAGUUUAAAAAUAAACUCAAUUAUAUCUCUCCUUCUUCCUUAAAAAUGGUGUUAAUAAAAUCUAUAGAAAUGUUGUUCUUUCAUGUCAGUGAAGUAAAGUAGCAAUUCCAAUUGUUUAUGAAAAAGCCAGAGACAAUCCAUCAUUUUUGAGCCAACAGAAAUCACAUCACAUUCUUCUCAAUCUUUGUUUGAUUAAUUUCUACUUUUGUCUAUCUCAACCUUUGUAUGGUUCCUUAUUUCCGUAUUAUGAAUCCUGGAAAGUAUCUUGCUCUUGACAGAUUCAGAAAUGAGAUGUUUACUUGAAAUAAAUUUGUUAACUAUUUCAGGUAGCACUACAAUUACCUCAUCUAAGUUUGUAGACACUUGGAACAGCUUUUGCAAUAGUAUAAAAAAGGAAUAAAACAACAUUCAAUAUAUCUAGCAUAAUCAAUUUGAUAUAUUAAACAUUCAGAUCAACUUCAUGAGACUUCAUCUGACCCUAUUACUAAUUUCAGCUGCCAGGAAUAGAGUUUGGCUUAGAGGUUCUCAUGUUUAAAUCGUUAUUUUACUAAUGCACUUUUAGUGUGAAUCAGUGCCUCUUCUUACUGAUAAGGGCCACCUUGCAAGAUAUCAGAUACACAGUGUAUCCUGGGAAUUGAUUGCUCAGAAGUUUGGUAAUAGUAUAUGAAGCCUUUAACCUUUAGGUCAUUGGUUCAGAUCAAAUCUGGCCUACUGAAGUGACUGAAAAUCAUUAUUAUCUGGAUCUUGCCUCAUGGACUUUGACUAACUUCAGAUAUUUAGCUUAUUUUCCAAAUGCUCAAGCAGAUACUCUAGAGGAAAGGGAAAAACAAAGAAUGCAACAGUGUCACUAUGCUUUAAUAUUAGUAAUUUUAGAUGCUUUUUCAUGUAUCUUCUUUAUAUAUAGACGUACGUCUCCAAAUGAGAAAUGACUUCCAUCACCAGAAUGGACACCAGUGAUAGACGAGAUUAUUUCCACUUUUGCAUUCCUGCACACUUGUUCAACUCACCUCCAGUGUUAUGUGUGAAACUAUAUCAAAAUACACAAAAGGACAUAUUCCGUUCCUAAUGACUGAUUGGAGAAAACAUAGAUGGGUUCCCUGAAAUAGAGUAGAUGAACAGAAGCCUCCUCCUGCAAACAAUACGUGAAAUAUUGAGUUCUUAAUUAUCUAUAUAUUAUUAAAAGUCUUAUUGUCAUGACCUUUAACUGGGGGAAAUGAAUCAAGGUACCUCAGCUCCCAAGGGAAUAAAAUUUGAUUGCUUUGGGCUACUGGCUGCUGCUGCACUGAUGCUGUGGUCAUGUGAUCUUCAUUUUCAAUUCCAUGACCGUUUUCUACCCAGACAUGCAAUUCCUUGUUCCCUCCACCACCCAGCGGCAGCCACUUAUCUGCCUGCUGAAAAGGGAAGGGGUAAAAGAAGGGAAAGGAGGAAAGAAGGAAGGGAGGGAGGGACAGGGAGAAAUGAACACAUGCCUUCCCCACCCCACCCCACCAUCCCACACACCAUUCCUGAACUUAAUGGGACCUCUUGUAUACUCCCAAGCACUCUUUCUAACCUAUGAUCCCCUAUGUGUCAUCCACAGUGGGAAUGGGGCACCGGUUGUCUAAUAUAUACUUGAAAAUAUAUACUUGAACAGAGAUAUCACAAGACCUACAUACAGCUCAUGCUCAUAAUUGUUUAACAUUCAUAAAUAUGUUCUUUUACAAAGUUGUUAUAUGGUUUUACCAUAAUUUAUUUUUGUUUAAGGCUCCUUGAAAACUACUUUGAAAAGUCAGCUAUGAUACUUUUAUUUUUUUAAAAAAAAUAGAAUACUCUCAUCAGAUAUUAAAAUAUACCACCAAAUUAUUUACCUUUGGCCACAAGAGAAAAUUGUACAUGUAAAACCCUUUUAUGCUUCUUUAACUCUGAUCAUGUUCUCUACAUGGAAAAUUAAAUUUGUGGAACUGUUGUUGCUUACUCUCCAAUUUGGAAGGGAAUUGUGAUAAGUUGGAGAGUGGGCCUUCUCAUGAUGAACCAUGAGAAAAAAUACUGUUUGGCAAGAAAUAUCCAUUUGCAUGAGACUGGUAAAAAGUUUAUGGAACCACAAUGGAAAAUGAAUGCUAAAGCAAUUUAACAAGAUAUCCUUAUGUUACUGUACAAUGCGUACAGCAGUUAAGACUGCAUAUAAUGUUUACAGUGUAUAGGGAUUAUUUUUUAAAUAAUUGAUCAUACAGCAUGAAAUGCAGCAUGAACACAAUUCAAUUUUAUUAUGUAAUGAAGUAAUAUAAUGCUCUAUAGCUGUUUAUAUUCACUUUAGAAUAAGCACCAGUUUGAGAUGAUCAUAUUAGCUGUUAAUCAUUAAGAAGUAACAUCUUCCUUUGAGCCAUAUGCAAAGAGCAGUUGAGUUCAGAUUAUCACAAAUAAAUAAAUAAAUAGCUUUUUCCUCCUCACAAAAUAGGAACAGAGGAAAAGAAAAAUGACCACAAAUGGCUACUUUGGUAUGAGAACUGAAUACAGUUCAACAGGAUCAAUUGUAUAACUCAGUGAUGGCGAACCUUUUAGAGACCGAGUGCCCAAACUGCAACCCAAAACCCACUUAUUUAUUGCCGGGUGCCAGGUGGGUGUGGCCCACUUGGCGGGCGCAGCUACAGUGGGCAUGGAAGACUAGGUGGGCAUGGCCACUGGAUGGGUGUGGCUGCAGUAGUCAUGGCAGACUGGGUGGGCAUGGCCGGGGUAGGCGUGGCCACCUCAGUGUUGCUUAUGGGGAGGGACACCUGUGGG